rnacentral:lncRNA from 1 species
UAAUAAGCAGUGGCGUAGCUUGCAUGUAUGCUCAGAUGCUCAAGCAUCCACAUCAUUUUGACAAAAAAAAAAAAAAAAAUAGCAGCAGUACAACUCAGAAGUAUCCAAAUGUAACAAGGCUGAGGAUAUGAGGAUAACGUCCAGUCAUUGUCGAAGCAGUAUGCCUGGUCUUUCAUUCAGGAUAAUUAAGUUUAUGUAAACCGCAAAAUAGUGUUUCAAGUUAACUUUUGUUCGUAAAAAAAGUCUACGUUAUCGGCUAAUUAAGGCAAGCGGAGAGGAUGAUGAAAUGCAUACCCGUGGACAUGUUUCCUAGAUGAAAUUGAACUUAGUGGAGUGAUGGCUUCUCAUUUGACUAUAGCAACUAACAACUAGAACACCAUAUCCUGAUAUCGUUUCUUGUGACGUGGUAAAAGACAUGAUAAAAAAAUCAACUUGUAAUAUAUCGUGAUAAUUCAUAGGCUUAUGGAUUCCCGUUUCUAUCUAGG